rnacentral:rRNA from 1 species
AAUCAACGCUGGCGGCGUGCCUCAGACAUGCAAGUCGAACGAUUAAGACUUCCUUCGGGAAGUGCAUAAAGUGGCGCACGGGUGAGUAACACGUAAGUAAUCUACCUUUGAGUGGGGAAUAACCCGGGGAAACCCGAGCUAAUACCGCAUAAUGCAGCGGCAUCGCAAGAUGACAGUUGUUAAAGGAGCAAUCCGCUUAAAGAGGAGCUUGCGGCAGAUUAGCUAGUUGGUAAGGUAAUGGCUACCAAGGCUACGAUCUGUAUCCGGUCUAAGAGGACGGUCGGACACACUGACACUGAAUAACGGGUCAGACUCCUACGGGAGGCAGCAGUCGGGAAUUUUGGGCAAUGGGCGAAAGCCUGACCCAGCAACGCCGCGUGAAGGAUGAAGUAUUUCGGUAUGUAAACUUCGAAAGAAUAGGAAGAAUAAAUGACGGUACUAUUUAUAAGCUCCGGCUAACUACGUGCCAGCCGCCGCCGUAACAC